GGCUGUGUACUUGAUCCUUGUUUAUUGGGAGGAGCUCUCUGCUGCCCCAGGAAUGGGCUGAUUUCCUGAGUACACAUUAAUCUGAGCUCCCUCAGCCCUAGGGGUAGGGGGAUUGGGGGCACAAGAUGGGUGGAGCCAGAUAGGGAAGAUUCCCCCAGUGUUGUCCUGCUCCCAGUCCAGGUUUGGGACAAUGCCGGCAGCGUUUCCCUGUGUCUUUCCCCCACAAAGUCUCCAAGUCUUUCCUCAAAUGAUCGUCAAGGUUUGGGAGAAACAAUCUCUUCCUCUGCCCGGGUUGCGUGGAUCUCCAGUGGAAAGAUACUGCAUGACAUUGAAACAGCCGGUGUAUUAACUAAUGUAUAUGACAGUCCACCUCUGUAUGAUGAUGUGAAAGUGCAAUUUUUCUCUUCAGCUUUAUCUACCAAGAAAUGAAUUGGAUAAUCCACAUAAACAAAAAGCUUGGAAAAUUUAUCCACCAGAAUUUGCCGUGGAGAUACUUUUUGGGAACGGGUCACGCAUGUGGAUGAUCAAAGGUCAGCUCCUGGUCAAUAUGAGAAGACUGGUUUCAGAAAAGUUGAGUGCUGAAGACUACAAAGCUGUUUGUAAGUUAUCAAGCUAGGAUUUGAUCCCAGGUCUGCCUGAUAAAUCCUGGACUCUUAACCAUGACAUAGGAGUGCCCUCUUGACUCCUAUGAUGGCAUAAAGAAUUGUAUCAGAACGGGUAAUCUGGCAUUAAAACCCCUGUGCCACAACC
rnacentral:lncRNA from 1 species